rnacentral:rRNA from 1 species
GAAGGUGAAAAGCAGAGAUGCGCUUUUGGAGAGACUUGUGUCCUAUCAGGCAGUUGGUGAGGUGAAAGCUCACCAAACCGAAGACGGGUAGCCGGACUGAGAGGUCGACCGGCCACAUUGGAACUGAGAGACGGUCCAGACUCCUACGGGAGGCAGCAGUGAGGAAUAUUGGACAAUGGUCGGAAGACUGAUCCAGCCAUGCCGCGUGGAGGUUAAGGUCCUAUGGAUUGUAAACUCCUUUUGAGAGGGAGCAAUAAGUGUCACGCGUGACACGAUGAGAGUACCUUUCGAAUAAGCAUCGGCUAACUCCGUGCCAGCAGCCGCGGUAAUACGGAGGAUGCGAGCGUUAUCCGGAUUUAUUGGGUUUAAAGGGUGCGUAGGCGGUUUUGCAAGUCAGCGGUGAAACGCACGGGCUUAACCUGUGACCUGCCGUUGAAACUGCGGGACUGGAAUGCGGAUGCUGUGGGAGGAAUGUGUGGUGUAGCGGUGAAAUGCAUAGAUAUCACACAGAACACCGAUUGCGAAGGCAUCUCACAAAUCCGUGAUUGACGCUGAGGCACGAAAGUGUGGGGAUCAAACAGGAUUAGAUACCCUGGUAGUCCACACUGUAAACGAUGAUAACUCGCUGU